rnacentral:rRNA from 1 species
AACAGACCGUCCAAACGUUACUCGGAAUUACUGGGCUUAAAGGGUGCGUAGGGGGCGCAGAAAGUUGGGUGUGAAAUCCCUCGGCUCAACGGGGGAACUGCAUCCAAAACUACUGUGCUCGAGGGUGACAGAGGUCAUCGGAAUUCAAGGUGGAGCGGUGAAAUGCGUUGAUAUCUUGAGGAACACCGGUGGCGAAAGCGGCUUACUGGGUCUCUUCUGACGCUGAGGCACGAAAGCUAGGGGAGCAAACGGG